rnacentral:rRNA from 1 species
CUACGGGUUGCUCCAGUCAAGAAUCUUCCCCAAUGGCCGAAAGGCUGAGGGAGCGACGCCGCGUGAAGGAUUGAAGCUCUUCGGAGUGUAAACUUCUUUUCUGGGGGAAAAAUUUAUGAUGGUACCUCAGGAAUAAGGGGCUGCUAACCUCGUGCCAGCAGCAGUGGUAAGACGAGGGCCCCGAGCGUUAUCCGGAUUUAUUGGGCGUAAAGCGUCCGCAGGUGGUUUAAUAAGUUGUUGGUUAAAUCUUCCGGCUUAACCGGAAAAAUGCCAACAAAACUAUUAAACUGGAGACUGGGAGAGGCUAGCGGAAUUGCCGGUGUAGUAGUAAAAUGCGUUAAUAUCGGCAAGAACACCAAUUGCGAAGGCAGCUAGCUAGAACAGUUCUGACACUUCAGCGGACGAAAGCGUGGGUAGCGAAUGGGAUUAGAUACCCUCGUAGUC